rnacentral:tRNA from 1 species
GGAUUGUAGCUCAGCGGUAGAGCACUCGCCUAGCACCUGUGAGACCCUGGGUUCUAUCCCUAGCACCA